CCGCCGUCAAGAACGCGACCUUCACGCUGCAAAAGGGCGAACUGACCGGCAUCCUCGGGCCGAACGGCGCCGGGAAGACCACACUGUUCAAUAUGCUCACCGGCUUUAUGGCGCCCACAUCCGGAGCUGUCACAUUCAACGGUGAAGCUGUGCAAGGACUCGCGCCCUACAAGGUCGUCAACCGCGGCAUGGCGCGGACCUUCCAGCUCUGCCGUCCUUUUGUGGGCAUGAACCUGCUG
rnacentral:misc_RNA from 1 species